AUUGAACGCUGGCGGCAGGCCUAACACAUGCAAGUCGAACGAGUGGCGGACGGGUGAGUAAUGUCUGGGAAACUGCCUGAUGGAGGGGGAUAACUACUGGAAACGGUAGCUAAUACCGCAUACCAUCGGAUGUGCCCAGAUGGGAUUAGCUAGUAGGUGGGGUAACGGCUCACCUAGGCGACGAUCCCUAGCUGGUCUGAGAGGAUGACCAGCCCAACUGGAACUGAGAAACGGUCCAGCCUCUUACGGGAGGCACCAGGGGGGAAUAUUGCACAAUGGGCGCAGUCCUGAUGCAGCCCUGCCGCGUGUAUGAAGAAGCCCUUCGGUUUUUAAAGUACUUUCAGCGGGGAGGCGUUACCCGCAGAAGAAGCACCGGCUAACUCCGUGCCAGCAGCCGCGGUAAUAC
rnacentral:rRNA from 1 species